GAAACAGUGAAGAUCAGUUUACCUGUGGUGACGGGGCGUUGGUCCAUGAAGCAGAGGAAGAGAAGAAAAACAGGACAAGGUAGAGAAGAAGUUUAAACGAGAGUUUAACGACAAGAUCACACAACACGUCGAAGAACUCCGUCCAGAACGCUCCUCCAGGCCUCAAUACGGCAACAGAUUCAUGUCUGCUCUUUAAAAAACAAGAACAUGUGAAGGACUCGCAUGAAUAUCUGCUUUGUCAUAACAAAAAAAAAAGUUUCUACCACUGGAGGAUCAGCUGAGCGGUUGCUAUGGCGACUCACUAUAAACAGAGUUUCUGAGAGAUGUGUAAAUUCACAGGAGGAGUAGAGGAUAGAGGGGGCGGAGCCAAACAAGAGCACAAAUUUACCUGGAAAGGUUGAACCACCAACCGUAACAUCU